UUAAACAAAUAUUCUGCAGAGAUCUUCCCCUCCUUCUCUUACGCGAUUUUCCUCUCCUCCUCUUUGAUCUGCAAAUAAAAUCCCAAAGAAAUAAAAUUAGUCAAUCCCAAUUAAUUUUGUGAAAUCAAUUACCCAUUAUCCAUCCCCUUUCCCACGUUCAUAACCGUUCCCCACUCUGUAAAUCUCUUCCAAAUCUAGACCUUAACAAACUCCCGAUUAUACACCCACACUAUGCAGUAUAUUAAUCGCCAUACCCUAAUCGCUCCUCACACAAAUUCUGUAGUCACAACUCUCUCAGGGCGGCAGAGAAAGCAGCGAAAAGAGCCCAUUCUUCUCCCCUCUCAACCCUGAUUCCACUAAGGGUCGAGACAGAGAGUUGAUAGUUUGUUAUUCAAGAACCACUUUUUUCAAAUCCUUGCUGAUCUUGAUUUCUCAUCCACGGAGGUAAUUAAAAAAAAUCUAUCACCCUCUUUCUCAAGAUGAAUUCACAUGGACAUAGAAAACUUAUUCUGAUAGAAACCAAGAAUCCAAAUUAAAACUUAUUUUGAUAGAAACCAAGAAUCCAAAUUCAGGGAGGAGAAACCAGCAACCUUGACCUUUUGCCUGAGCCGAUCUGUUCAGUGAAGGUAUAAACCUUCCCCCUUUAUCUCAAUUCUCCAGACAUCAAGCAUAUCACUUUUUUGCACCAAUCGAAACUCGAUAUCGAAGUAAAAUAAAUCAAAGAGCAACCUUUUAAAGGAUCAGAAUCAAAAUUUAAGAACUUAAUUGCGGGGACUAUUCGGGGUGAAUUGGGGCAGCGUUCCUUGAGCUUUAUGUGUAUCUCAUUUAGUGAAUUACUGUUAUGUAUUAUGUUUCAACAAAUAAAAAGAAAGGGAGAAAAGUUCUGGGGAUGUUCUUUGAAAUAAAACACAGUAAAGAGAGAAAGGGGAGAAGCCGAUGGUUUUAGAGGAGAGCUUUAUUAUGUUGGUUUAGUUUUUCAAAAGGGAGUAUAUGAUUGUUUGCGUAUUUAGGAAAGGGGAAUAUUAUAAAAUUCUGUUUAUGUUAAAUCUUGAGUAUUUGAUUUUAAAAAUGGAGAUAGGAGUGUACGUGUACCGUUGGGAAGAAGAGUAUUUCUUGUUUUCUUGUUUUUCUUGUUUAAUCAUUUUCCUAAUGCUUUAGUUGAGAUUGUUGGUUUAAAAGUGAAACAUGAGGCAGCGUGUAUUUUGGAAAGGGGAGUUUUAUUCUUGUUGUUUUAAAACCUUAUUUAUUCUUACUAAUCCUAGUUUGAAGUGCUUUUUAGUUGGUAGAUUUUUAAAGAAAACGGGAUGUUAAAGUGCGUGUAAAUAUAAUGGAGUGUUUGUAUUGUCAUUAAAUUGUUUAUUUUUACUUAAUUGAAAGUGGCAGCAGUACUUAGGAAAGGGGUAUGUGAACGUGCGUUUAGGAAAAAUGGUGUAUGUUAAUUUUUAUUUGCUUUGUUAUUAUUUGAGUUUGGAUUAAUUGGCAGUGGAGGAGAUACGUGUAUUACUUUUGCGAAUAGGAGUAUACUAUUUCCUUCUUUGGGCUCCUUAAUUUAUUUGGUUGGGCUUGUUUCUAAUAUGAAUGGUUGGGGCGUGAGCGGCCAGAAUUAAUCAAAAAUACCCAAGCCCGUAAUCAUGAGAAAUUGGUAGUCUUGAACGAGGAAGAUAAUUGGAGACAUAGGAUGGAUGCAUCUUAUUUAUAUAUUUGAAAAGUGUGUUGAUUUACGUGUUAUGUAAAUGCUAAAGGUGAUUCUUCGCAAGUGAAUCGUGAUCGCAAGGGAAAGAAUAUAUUUGUAGAUUAAGCACUCGAGGUGAGCUUUCUUUUAAAUAAGGACAAUGUCCUAAAUAUUUAUUGACGGGAAUGAAACUAUGUUUAUCAUGCCGUGAUUUGAUUUUAACGUGCCUAUCUGAUGUGGCUUUUGCCAUUAUUAUUUAAAUCAAAUUUUGGUCCUCGUAGGGUCGAAAACCCCACUUGGAUUAGUGUACACCUAUGGUAGACCGUGUGCUAGCGUAUGGGUUGGCCGGUCUAGUGACUUGGUUUGUGGUCACAUUCCAUGUCAUGUAUGUGCAGAUAUGGUUAACGUCUAUGGGAAAAUAACUGAUCAAUCGACUAUUUACAAUGAAAAUGAUUUUGAGUGCCUCGGGUCUUUCUAAAGCUAAAUCUCGAUGGUUGCUUAUGGAUGACAUGAUAAAUACUAUUUUGAUAACAUGUUUUCGGCAUAAGUUCACUGAGUAAUUUUAUAGUACUCAGCCCUGCAUGUGUUUUCCUUAUGUGCAGGUUGAGCGGCGACGAGCAAUUGGUGGUGUUGAGCAAUUAAAAUUGAAGUAUUAUUUGGUUAUCUUUGAACUACGAGUGUCGUUGUGUCUUCACACAUUACGUCACUCUUUCUCUUGAACGCUUCCGCUGAGACAUUAUUUUU